rnacentral:rRNA from 1 species
UACGUAGGUGGCGAGCGUUGUCCGGAUUUACUGGGCGUAAAGAGCGCGCAGGCGGUCGUUCAAGUCGCGUGUGAAAGCCCCCGGCUCAACUGGGGAGGGUCACGCGAUACUGAUCGACUCGAAGGCAGGAGAGGGAAGUGGAAUUCCCGGUGUAGUGGUGAAAUGCGUAGAUAUCGGGAGGAACACCAGUGGCGAAGGCGGCGACCUGGGUAGAUACUGACGCUGAGGUGCGAAAGCGUGGGGAGCAAACAGG